UACGGGGGGUGCAAGCGUUGUUCGGAAUCACUGGGCGUAAAGCGCGUGUAGGCGGCCUUCUAAGUCUGAUGUGAAAGCCCGGGGCUCAACCCCGGAAGUGCAUUGGAUACUGGGAGGCUGGAGUACCGGAGAGGAGGGUGGAAUUCCUGGUGUAGCGGUGAAAUGCGUAGAUAUCUGAAGGAACAUCAGUGGCGAAAGCGACUUCCUGGACCAAUACUGACGCUCAUGUGCGAAAGCGUGGGGAGCGAACAGG
rnacentral:rRNA from 1 species